CGCCUGCCCUAUGAGGAUUUAAAUGGCCGCGGUACUUUGACCGUGCAAAGGUAGCAUAAUCAUUAGUUUUUUAAUUGAAAGCUGGUAUGAAAGGUUGGAUGAGAAAAUGACUGUCUCUAUUUAAGUUUUUUAGAAUUUUAUCUUUAAGUAAAAAAGCUUAAAUAUAAAUAGAAGACGAGAAGACCCUAUAGAGUUUUAAUUUGGUUGGGGUGAUUGAAAAAUUGAAAAAAUUUUUUUUUUAUUAUAACAUUAAUUUAUGAGUAGUUGAUCCUUAAAUUAAGAUUACAAGAAAAAAUUACCUUAGGGAUAACAGCGUAAUUUUUUUAAAGAGUUCAAAUCGAAAAAAAAGAUUGCGACCUCGAUGUUGGAUUAAAAUAAAAUUUUGGUGUAGGGGCUAA
rnacentral:rRNA from 1 species